AUGCCAUCUUCAAGGAUAUGAACUGUAGUACCUUUAUGGAUUUAAUUCAUUUUCCUGAAGUGGUUUCCCUGUUCCGGAAUGGAUGUUGAAGAAGGGAACAUGAACCAGCAAGGUGGUAUAACUGAUGACGGUGAUGAUGAACCCAGUGAGAGUGGAGAAGCAAAUGUAAAUGGAAGAUCAAAUGCACCUGAUGGAGAUAACAUUGUUGAGCCGCAAAUGGGUAUGGUAUUUCUUUCUGCAGAUCAAGCAAAGAAUUUCUAUGAUGAGUAUGCUAGGCGUGUGGGUUUUAACACCCGUGUCUUUCAGUUUAAUCGACUGAAGACUGAUUUCUUAUGUGACAAGGU
rnacentral:misc_RNA from 1 species